GAAGGCAGAUCUCUGGGCCGUAACUGACGCUGAGGAGCGAAAGGGUGGGGAGCAAACAGGCUUAGAUACCCUGGUAGUCCACCCCGUAAACGUUGGGAACUAGUUGUGGGGUCCUUUCCACGGAUUCCGUGACGUAGCUAACGCAUUAAGUUCCCCGCCUGGGGAGUACGGCCGCAAGGCUAAAACUCAAAGGAAUUGACGGGGACCCGCACAAGCGGCGGAGCAUGCGGAUUAAUUCGAUGCAACGCGAAGAACCUUACCAAGGCUUGACAUACACCAGAACGGGCCAGAAAUGGUCAACUCUUUGGACACUGGUGUACAGGUGGUGCAUGGUUGUCGUCAGCUCGUGUCGUGAGAUGUUGGGUUAAGUCCCGCAACGAGCGCAACCCUCGUUCUAUGUUGCCAGCACGUAAUGGUGGGAACUCAUGGGAUACUGCCGGGGUCAACUCGGAGGAAGGUGGGGAUGACGUCAAAUCAUCAUGCCCCUUAUGUCUUGGGCUUCACGCAUGCUACAAUGGCCGGUACAAAGGGCUGCGAUACCGUGAGGUGGAGCGAAUCCCAAAAAGCCGGUCCCAGUUCGGAUUGAGGUCUGCAACUCGACCUCAUGAAGUCGGAGUC
rnacentral:rRNA from 1 species